rnacentral:lncRNA from 10 species
AGUAGCUGGGACUACAGGCGCCCGCCACUACGCCCGGCUAAUUUUUUGUGUUUUUAGUAGAGACUGGGUUUCUCCAUAUUGGUCAGACUGGUCUCGAACUCCCGACCUCAGGUGAUCUGCCUGCCUUGGCCUCCCAAAGUGCUGGGAUUACAGGCAUGAGCUAUCGCACCUGGCCCCAUCAGGUUGUUUUUGUUCAACAGGAGUCUCUUGCAUGGCUCAGGACUGUCCACUCCGUACACCAGAGGACUUUGUGUUUCCAUUGCUUCCCAAUGAAGAAUUGAGAGAGAAAUACAGGCGCUACCUCUUCAGGGACUAUGUGGAGAGUCAUUACCAGCUCCAGCUGUGCCCUGGUGCAGACUGCCCCAUGGUUAUUCGGGUACAGGAGCCUAGAGCUCGCCGAGUACAGUGCAAUCGGUGCAACGAGGUCUUCUGGUAAGAGUG